GAUGAACGCUGGCGGCGUGCCUAAUACAUGCAAGUCGAGCGAACAGACGAGGAGCUUGCUCCUCUGACGUUAGCGGCGGACGGGUGAGUAACACGUGGAUAACCUACCUAUAAGACUGGGAUAACUUCGGGAAACCGGAGCUAAUACCGGAUAAUAUAUUGAACCGCAUGGUUCAAUAGUGAAAGACGGUUUUGCUGUCACUUAUAGAUGGAUCCGCGCCGCAUUAGCUAGUUGGUAAGGUAACGGCUUACCAAGGCAACGAUGCGUAGCCGACCUGAGAGGGUGAUCGGCCACACUGGAACUGAGACACGGUCCAGAGUACUACGGGAGGCAGCAGUAGGGAAUCUUCCGCAAUGGGCGAAAGCCUGACGGAGCAACGCCGCGUGAGUGAUGAAGGUCUUCGGAUCGUAAAACUCUGUUAUUAGGGAAGAAAAAAUGUGUAAGUAACUAUGCACGUCUUGACGGUACCUAAUCAGAAAGCCACGGCUAACUACGUG
rnacentral:rRNA from 1 species